UACGUAGGUGGCAAGCGUUGUCCGGAUUUACUGGGCGUAAAGAGCGCGCAGGCGGUCGUUCAAGUCGCGUGUGAAAGACCCCGGCUCAACUGGGGGAGGUCGUGCGAUACGGGCGGACUGGAGGCCAGUAGGGGGAUGCGGAAUUCCGGGUGUAGUGGUGGAAUGCGUGAGAGAGUCCGGAAGAACACCGGUGGCGAAGGCGGCCUGCUGGGCAGUAGCUGACACUGAGGCGCGACAGCGUGGGGAGCAAACAGG
rnacentral:rRNA from 1 species